GUUUGAAGAGAUAGUUAAAGAGGACGUGAAACCGGUAGGAUGGAAACGGAUAGAGCUAGCGAAGUCGCUCGUAUUCAGCCAAAAGUCUAGGGUUGCCUGCUGUCGUGUUUUUAAUCGAGCACGGCGGUUUGCCUUCUCUGGAUUGAGGUGCAUUUGCGGGCGUUUGCGCUGAGACUUGCGAGGCAGCUGCGGGACCGGCGUCUAGAGGCUUCCCAUUGGGUCGAACCUGGGCGUCGUUACAGCUGUUUGCCUUGCUCGUACUGGUCUGGCCUACGGACCCUGUUCGUGCUGUUGUCAUCUGGCCAAGGCAUCGCAUGCGAUGUCUAGCUUGGUGGCUGCAGCGCGGGCUGGUGUCCCCGGAUCGUCUCUCGGUGUAGAAGCUGGUCAUCUCUCCGACCCGUCUUGAAACACGGACCAAGGAGUUUAGCGUAUGCGCGAGUCAUUGGGUGUUAAAACCCACAGGCGCAAUGAAAGUGAAGGCUCGGUCGCCGGGCUGACAUGCGAGUGCCGCGGCUUCGGCCCAGGCAUGCAGCAUGGUCCCAUUGUAAUCGUUUACGAUGCAGUGGAGACAGAACGCAAAUGCGCUGAGACCCGAAAGAUGGUGAACUAUUCCUGAGCAGGACGAAGCCAGAGGAAACUCUGGUGGAAGUCCGAAGCGAUUCUGACGUGCAAAUCGAUCGUCUGACUUGGGUAUAGGGGAAAGACUAAUCGAAA
rnacentral:rRNA from 1 species